AUGUUCCGGGCGCUGCGCCAUUCCGUCCCUCGAUGCGGCAUCCGGUUUCAGGCCCGUCCUGCGGGGACGCGUCGCCUUUCCCUGAGGCGGCGCGUC
rnacentral:sRNA from 1 species